GGGCCACGCCCCUGGCCUGCCCCACGACUCGGGUUUUCCCACCUCCUGCGGGUCCCUGGCCCUGCCGGGUAACUCCCGAGAUCCUAUCCUGGUCUCCCCUUUGGCUCCGCCCUUUUCCUCACUCCCCCAGCCCCCACCAUUCCGGUCACUCCCCUCCCCAGUCGCAAGGUAUCCCAGCUCUCCUUGCAGGUGGCGAUGUUACGGGCACUGCUCCAAGAGGCUCGAUCCUCUCAAGCCCCCAGCUCCCGCCCCAUCUCUGACCCCUCUUCUCUUCUGGCACCACCGCCUCUCCUAAAGGACCUCUUGCGCCAGGAGCUCCGGCAGUUGCUCCAGGGUCUCCGCCACAAAGCCAUCUGUGAGGGCAGGGACCAGGCCCAAGCUUGGGUCCAGUAUAGCCCCAGGGUCCUGCACUUUGCCUUGGAGGAGCCCAGGUGUGAUUUGCCAGAACAGGAGAUAUUCCAGAUGAGAGGUGGUGGGCCCAGGUAAGGUGAUGGUAGGAGAGAGGGAUCUGUCCCUGCUUGGCAGAGGGCCCUAGCCCACUGGUGGGUUGCACCUGGCUCCAUGCAGGAGAUUCCAGUCACGGGCUGGGCACUUCCACCGCCAUUUGUGAUAGAGAUCAUCAGCCCAUAAGGGCUACUGAAACCCAGAGGAAACACCUGCCUAGCCUGGGGACAGGAAAAGCUUCUUGGAGAAAGUGGUUUGAUCUGCGUGUUGUAGUAUGAGGAGCAGUUUUCAGGGAGAUGAAAGAGAAGAGCUUUGUAGGAAGAGGGAAGAAAGGAAGCCAUGUCCAGCAGGCGGUUGUUCCUCCGGCCUAGAGAACAGGAGUGAGGGCUGGGCUAGG
rnacentral:lncRNA from 1 species